AUUGACAAAGGUUAUAUUCAGAUGCGCUAUUUGGUGGAUGUGGAAGGAAAGAUAUAGCAGAAUCUUUGAGUGUCAACACACAAACAAUGCUUAGCUCUUGAUAGAGAUUAUUAGAGACUCAAGAUCAUGUAUGGAGAACGAUCUCAAAAUGGAGCACCUUACACAAAGAGAAAAAGAUAUUUUUAUCAAAUUCAAUUUUGCUAUUAGCUAAAGAUCUUGGGCAUGAUGUUAAAAGCUAUACCCACAGGAAAUCUUGGCAUAUAUGGACUUUAAAUUUUAUUUGUU
rnacentral:lncRNA from 1 species